rnacentral:rRNA from 1 species
GAGUGAACGCUGGCGGUAGGCCUAACACCUUCAAGUCGAACGGCAGCACAGUAAGAGCUUGCUCUUACGGGUGGCGAGUGGCGGACGGGUGAGGAAUACAUCGGAAUCUACUUUUUCGUGGGGGAUAACGUAGGGAAACUUACGCUAAUACCGCAUACGACCUACGGGUGAAAGCAGGGGAUCUUCGGACCUUGCGCGAUUGAAUGAGCCGAUGUCGGAUUAGCUAGUUGGCGGGGUAAAGGCCCACCAAGGCGACGAUCCGUAGCUGGUCUGAGAGGAUGAUCAGCCACACUGGAACUGAGACACGGUCCAGACUCCUACGGGAGGCAGCAGUGGGGAAUAUUGGACAAUGGGCGCAAGCCUGAUCCAGCCAUACCGCGUGGGUGAAGAAGGCCUUCGGGUUGUAAAGCCCUUUUGUUGGGAAAGAAAAGCAGCAGGUUAAUACCCCGCUGUUCUGACGGUACCCAAAGAAUAAGCACCGGCUAACUUCGUG